CAGUCGAACGAAGCACUUAUCUUUGAUUCUUCGGAUGAAGAGAUUUGUGACUGAGCGGUGGACGGGUGAGUAACGCGUGGGUAACCUGCCUCAUACAGGGCGAUAACAGUUAGAAAUGACUGCUAAUACCGCAUAAGACCACGGAGCCGCAUGGCUCAGUGGGAAAAACUCCGGUGGUAUGAGAUGGACCCGCGUCUGAUUAGGUAGUUGGUGGGGUAACGGCCUACCAAGCCAACGAUCAGUAGCCGACCUGAGAGGGUGACCGGCCACAUUGGGACUGAGACACGGCCCAAACUCCUACGGGAGGCAGCAGUGGGGAAUAUUGCACAAUGGGGGAAACCCUGAUGCAGCGACGCCGCGUGAGCGAAGAAGUAUUUCGGUAUGUAAAGCUCUAUCAGCAGGGAAGAAAAUGACGGUACCUGACUAAGAAGCACCGGCUAAAUACGUGCCAGCAGCCGCGGUAAUACGUAUGGUGCAAGCGUUAUCCGGAUUUACUGGGUGUAAAGGGAGCGUAGACGGCUGUGUAAGUCUGAAGUGAAAGCCCGGGGCUCAACCCCGGGACUGCUUUGGAAACUAUGCAGCUAGAGUGUCGGAGAGGUAAGUGGAAUUCCCAGUGUAGCGGUGAAAUGCGUAGAUAUUGGGAGGAACACCAGUGGCGAAGGCGGCUUACUGGACGAUGACUGACGUUGAGGCUCGAAAGCGUGGGGAGCAAACAGGAUUAGAUACCCUGGUAGUCCACGCCGUAAACGAUGACUACUAGGUGUCGGGGAGCAAAG
rnacentral:rRNA from 1 species